CUACCAUUUUCGACACACGGUGGGUUUGGUUUUUGAGUUUUGAGUUUUUUGAAUAUCUUUGUUUAUUUUAUUUACGGAGUACUUCUUCAUAAAUACCUCCCAGACCCUUGCUCUGAAGUAAUACAAUCCUCAUCACUAACGCCUAAUCCGAGCUCUCGCCCUCCCGUAACUUACAUUGGCAGUUGGUGGUAAUAUGGGUGACUUAUUAGACUUCGCAACCACAUUCGGCUACAACUCCUGGCUUGGAAUUGAGUGGGGAAAGGGAUGUCCUUUCGCACGGGAACUCAUCGCUGGUGAUGUGAACACCUCAAAAAACAAUGCCCGGAAGUUGGUAUAUAACCCACAUCAAGCACUGGCCAAAUGCGAGUUUGGAUAGCAUGGGGAGUGACAGGGCCCACACUAUAACUUAGAUUCAUUGUGCUUCAUGCGCAAAACGCAAAAGGAGCAAGUUCAAAAUUUUCCAUCAUAUUUUAUUCCAAACGGUCAUCCAUCGAUCCGCUCAAUUUAUCUAUAUCUUUCGUAAACCUCUUGCUCACGUAUCCGCUCCUCGACUUUCCGAAUUACUUUCUCAUCAUAUAAGUCCUCGACAGCCUUACCACCUUUGAGAGCUUCCCGUUCAUGUCGCAGCGCUUCCUCCUUAGUCAUGCAAACCAGUUCUUUCAGGUCAAGUCGCGCUCCCCUUUGCCCUUCCUGCUCCCAGAGCGGAUCAGGACCAAAUCCAUGCUCCGGCUGCUUCCAACGCACCAACAUCAGCCGUGUAGCCAAGCCGGUGACGACGCUUUUUCCUCUCCACACUUCCUCGAUCAAGUAAGCGACAUCAUCCUUGUUAAUGGGUAUGCGUAGUCCGACAGGAUCUUGGCCAGAUUCGAAUUUCGCUAUGCGUUCCUCCAUCCCCUGCAGCGCUCCCAAGAUGCUGUCAUACAUCUUUUCUCGGCCUUUGGCACCCGCGUUGUACUCGUUGGGAUAUCCAGAUAUUUCGCAAAUAACAUGGUUGGCGAGGGUAUAUCCAAAUACAGCUGGCAUCGUGCCGACGACGGGGAGUAUUCGCACCCGAAAAUCCGGGAGAACACCGAGCUCGCCAACCUCCCCUUUCGCAAACUCUUCCUCAGCCAGAGGCAGUAAAGCAGCCUUUCCGGGACCAGGCUUUUCGGUAGAGAAAACCACUGGAAUUCCUGAGUUUACCCCAAGUGCCUUCAAUCGACGCCGCGUACUUCUGGAGAGAGGAUCCUCGGCGCUCAAGGAGAUAUCGCCUAUUGCGAUGCGAGUGGGGUCGGAUUUACAUCCUGCGCCCAUGGAAGAGAUGACGGGGAUGUUGUGGGAGUGGCAGUAGUGAAGGAGGGAGACCUUGGACGAAAUGUUAUCAAUACAGUCCAGAACAUAGUCUGGCUUCCGCGCCACCUUGUCACCUUGCAUGUUCCACGGGCCUAGUAAAGCAUCCGCGGCGGUUUGACUAUACAGUUCAUCCCGGCAGUCAAACCGGACCCAAGGCACUAUUUGCUCCAGCCUCUUUCGCAUGCAUUGGACUUUUGGCGUACCCACAUCUGAAAGAGUUGCAACAGCAUGUCGAUUUAAUGACGAAAGGGUGACCUGAUCGAAGUCUAUCAAACGGAUCCGGGACACUCCAGAGCGCGCCAGGGCUGCAGCAGCAUGAGAGCCGACGCCUCCACAUCCCACAAUUAUUAUGAAUGAGGAGCGAAGUUUUGCUAACCCAUCGUCGGUAAGGAAGACGCGAUUUCGAGCAAGUUGUUCUAGGAUUAAAUCUGUAAUUGUGACAAAGAGUGGGAUUAGCACUCGAUCUUUGUAUGUGGAUGUACCAAAGAGGAAAAACAGUGUACCAUCAUCAUAGUCCCCGGCUUGAGCUCUUCGAGCAAGAGUAGUACCUCGUUCAUCUUCUUUACUAGGGUUCGGCGGCGUUGCUAGUCCGAAUUCUGUAAGCUUCAACUCAGACC
rnacentral:sRNA from 2 species